rnacentral:rRNA from 1 species
UACGUAGGGUGCAGGCGUUAAUCGGAAUUACUGGGCGUAAAGCGUGCGCAGGCGGCUCCUUAAGUCAGAUGUGAAAGCCCCGGGCUUAACCUGGGAACUGCGUUUGAAACUGGGGAGCUAGAGUGUAGAAGAGGGGGGUGGAAUUCCAGGUGUAGCAGUGAAAUGCGUAGAGAUCUGGAGGAACACCGAUGGCGAAGGCAGCCCCCUGGGCUAACACUGACGCUCAUGCACGAAAGCGUGGGGAGCAAACAGG